ACGCUCGACACCUACGGGAGGCAGCAGUGGGGAAUAUUGCACAAUGGGGGAAACCCUGAUGCAGCGACGCCGCGUGGAGGAAGAAGGUCUUCGGAUUGUAAACUCCUGUUGUUGGGGAAAAGAGGAUGGUACCCAACAAGGAAGUGACGGCUAACUACGUGCCAGCAGCCACGGUAAUCUGAGCGGGCUGGCAAGGC
rnacentral:rRNA from 1 species